rnacentral:rRNA from 1 species
UACGGAGGGUGCAAGCGUUAUCCGGAUUCACUGGGUUUAAAGGGUGCGUAGGUGGGCUAGUAAGUCCGUGGUGAAAUCUCCGAGCUUAACUCGGAAACUGCCGUGGAUACUAUUAGUCUUGAAUUUCGUGGAGGUAAGCGGAAUAUGUCAUGUAGCGGUGAAAUGCUUAGAUAUGACAUAGAACACCGAUAGCGGAGGCAGCUUACUACGCGAAUAUUGACACUGAGGCACGAAAGCGUGGGGAUCAAACAGG